GACGAACCGUGCGAACGUUAUUCGGAAUCACUGGGCUUAAAGGGCUCGUAGGCGGCCAACUAAGUCAGACGUGAAAUCCCUCAGCUUAACUGGGGAACUGCGUCUGAUACUGGAUGGCUUGGAUUCGGGAGAGGAAUGCGGAAUUCCAGGUGUAGCGGUGAAAUGCGUAGAUAUCUGGAGGAACACCGGUGGCGAAGGCGGCAUUCUGGACCGACAUUGACGCUGAGGAGCGAAAGCCAGGGGAGCAAACGGG
rnacentral:rRNA from 1 species